rnacentral:tRNA from 6 species
CCGUGUGUGGCGCAGCCUGGUAGCGCAUCUGGUUUGGGACCAGAGGGUCGCAGGUUCAACUCCUGCCACACGGACCA